rnacentral:ribozyme from 1 species
UUUAAGAAAUCGUCAUGAAAAAGUGCAAGAAAACUGCAUCGACUUGACGAUGAAUAAUUAUUUGAUUCUAGGUGUCUAACCUUUUACUUUUCUAUUUUUGCUCAUUUUCACUUUCAAUAAAUCUCGUAGGUUGGUAGAAUUGCUGAUAGAGGAGCUGAAUUUGUGUCAGCAAAAGAAUGGA